rnacentral:rRNA from 1 species
UGAAGAGGGAAAAGCUCAAAUUUAAAAUCUGGCAGUGUCUUUGCUGUCCGAGUUGUAACCUAGAGAAGUGUAGCCUGUGCUGGACCGUGUACAAGUCUCCUGGAAUGGAGCAUCAUAGAGGGUGAGAAUCCCGUCUUUGACAUGGACUACCAGUGCAUUGUGGUUGUGCUCUCAACGAGUCGAGUUGUUUGGGAAUGCAGCUCUAAAUGGGUGGUAAAUUCCAUCUAAAGCUAAAUAUUGGCGAGAGACCGAUAGCGAACAAGUACCGUGAGGGAAAGAUGAAAAGAACUUUGGAAAGAGAGUUAAACAGUAUGUGAAAUUGUUGAAAGGGAAACGUUUGAAGUCAGUCGCGUUGGCUGGGGAUCAACCUGACCGUUUGGUUGGGUGUACUUCCUGGUUGACGGGUCAACAUCAGUUUUGACUGCCAGAGAAAGGCGGGGGGAAUGUGGCACCUUUGGGUGUGUUAUAGCUCUCUGUCAUAUAUGGUGGUUGGGACUGAGGAAAGCAGCGUGCCGAAAGGCCGGGUUUCGACCACGUUCACGCUGAGGAUGUUGGCAUAAUGGCUUUAAGCGACCCGUCUUGAAACACGGACCAAGGAGUCUAACAUGCAUGCGAGUGUUUGGGUGGAAAACCCUUACGCGUAAUGAAAGUGAAAGUUGAGAUCCCUGUCGUGGGGAGCAUCGACGCCCGGACCAGAACUUUUG